AUUGAACGCUGGCGGCAGGCCUACACAUGCAAGUCGAACGGCAGCACAGAAGAGCUUGCUCUUUGGGUGGCGAGUGGCGGACGGGUGAGUAAUGUCUGGGAAACUGCCCGAUGGAGGGGGAUAACUACUGGAAACGGUAGCUAAUACCGCAUAACGUCGCAAGACCAAAGUGGGGGACCUUCGGGCCUCACACCAUCGGAUGUGCCCAGAUGGGAUUAGCUAGUAGGGGGGGUAAUGGCUCACCUAGGCGACGAUCCCUAGCUGGUCUGAGAGGAUGACCAGCCACACUGGAACUGAGACACGGUCCAGACUCCUACGGGAGGCAGCAGUGGGGAAUAUUGCACAAUGGGCGCAAGCCUGAUGCAGCCAUGCCGCGUGUAUGAAGAAGGCCUUCGGGUUGUAAAGUACUUUCAGCGGGAGGAGGGCGGUGAGGUUAAUAACCUCGCCGAUUGACGUUACCCGCAGAAGAAGCACCGGCUAACUCCGUGCCAGCCGCCGCCGUAA
rnacentral:rRNA from 1 species